UACGUAGGCAGCAAGCGUUGUUCGGAGUUACUGGGCGUAAGGGUGCGUAGGCGGUCCUAUAAGUAUGGUGUGAAAUCUCCCGGCUUAACUGGGAGGGUGCGCUAUAGACUGUGGGACUAGAGUGUGGGAGAGGAAAGUGGAAUUCCUGGUGUAGCGGUGAAAUGCGUAGAUAUCAGGAGGAACACCGGUGGUGUAAACGGCUUUCUGGACCAUAACUGACGCUGAGGCACGAAAGCGUGGGUAGCAAACAGG
rnacentral:rRNA from 1 species